rnacentral:rRNA from 1 species
GGCGGCCCGCAAGGGUCAGUCGAGCGGCGAACGGGUGAGUAACGCGUGGAUUAUCUACCCUGAGGUGGGGGAUAACCCGGGGAAACUCGGGCUAAUACCGCAUAUGACCGCGAGGUCAAAGGGGGGUCGCAAGAUCUCUCGCCAUAGGAGGAGUCCGCGUUCGAUUAGCUAGUUGGUAGGGUAAUGGCCUACCAAGGCGACGAUCGAUAGCCGGCCUGAGAGGGUGAUCGGCCACACUGGAACUGAGACACGGUCCAGACUCCUACGGGAGGCAGCAGUGGGGAAUUUUGCGCAAUGGGCUAACGCCUGACGCAGCAACGCCGCGUGGAGGAUGAAGGUCUUUGGAUUGUAAACUCCUGUCGACCGGGAAAAAGCGACCCGACCUCAUACGUCGGGAAGUUGAUUGUACCGGUGGAGGAAGCCCCGGCUAACUCUGUGCCAGCAGCCGCGGUAAUACAGAGGGGGCAAGCGUUAUUCGGAAUUAUUGGGCGUAAAGGGCGCGUAGGCGGCCUGGCAAGUGGAAGGUGAAAUCCCUCGGCUUAACCGAGGAACUGCCCUCCAAACUGCUUGGCUUGAGUCCGGGAGAGGUGAGUGGAAUUCCCAGUGUAGCGGUGAAAUGCGUAGAUAUUGGGAGGAACACCAGUGGCGAAGGCGGCUCACUGGACCGGAACUGACGCUGAGGCGCGAAAGCGUGGGGAGCAAACGGGAUUAGAUACCCCGGUAGUCCACGCCGUAAACGAUGAGUGCUUGGUGUAGCGGGUAUCGACCCCUGCUGUGCCGAAGUCAACACAUUAAGCACU